ACAGCGGCAACUAUAAAGUCUAUGAGCACCGGUCCCGAUGUUGGCCGACGAAUAAGUGAAGCGGCACACAUUAGAGACCAACCCCUCACACCCACCGAGCAUUUCAAAAUUUUCCUGAUUCAUUCGUCCAGCCGGGCCCCACCUAACUAGGAAAAUCUCAGUUUCACCCCAAAAUUCAAAAUUAGAGGCAUUUUCGCAACUUAAACAAUCCUCAAGGUGUCAUCAUUUCAAAGAUUACACAAGUAUGCCAUAAAAGUGAUACCAAAACAAAUCAAAUAGGAAACAAAACCAACCCGAAUCUUACGCACAGCGAGAGGGGGGAGUGUGUUUAAUGACAAUGGAUAGGGAGAAAGAGAGAGAGAUAGAGCUGGAGAGUGCGAUGUACACGAAUUGCUUGUUACUUGGUCUGGAUCCAGCCGUAAUCGGAAUCGGGUCGAACAACGGGACUCCUCGGGUCGGACUAUUCCGUCAUUCCAAUCCGAAAUUAGGCGAACAGCUUCUAUACUUCAUCCUUUCCUCUCUCCGUGGCCCUAUUCAAUCCGCCAAAGACUUUGAUAAGGUGUGGCCGAUUUUUGAUUCGGCUCAGUCUCGUGAUUUUCGAAAGGUUGUGCAGGGGAUUAUUAGUGAUCUUGAAUCCCAAGGGGCGUUGCCAAGGAGCAAUUCGAGGGUUUCAUCACUUGCCACUUGCUGUGGACCAAGAUUCGUCGAACUUCUGUGGCAACUUUCUUUGCAUGCUUUGCGAGAAGUUCACAAACGAACAUUUGCAGCUGAUGUCUCAUACAACCCGCUCCCUGCUCCAUUGACAGAUGUAGCUUUCUCGCAUGCAGCUACAUUACUUCCUGUAACUAAGGGUAGAAUAGCUCUAGAAAGACGAAGAUUUCUGAAAAAUGCCGAGACAGCAGUUCAGAGACAGGCCAUGUGGUCCAAUCUGGCUCAUGAAAUGACAGCUGAGUUUCGUGGUCUAUCUGCUGAAGAUGCGUAUCUACAACAAGAGCUUGAGAAACUACACGAUUUAAGAAACAAAGUGAAGUUGGAAGGUGAACAUUGGGAUGAGCUUGUGUCUAGUUCAAGUCAGAACUCUCAUAUUGUUCAGAGAGCUACUCACUUGUGGGACUCCUUGUUAUCUCGCAAGAGUCAACAUGAAGUUCUCGCGUCAGGCCCUAUUGAGGAUCUUAUAGCUCAUCGUGAGCAUAGGUAUCGCAUCUCCGGUUCAUCUUUGUUGGCAGCAAUGGAUCAAAGCUCUCUAGUUCCAUCUGCUAAUCAACCUCCGUCACACCUCAAUAAUGGGGAAAUUGAUGGUCUGAAAGAAAAUGUAAACAAAGAGAAGAACGAAUUUAAAUUAGAUUAUUCCUAUGCUCAAGGAAACGAUGGAAAAAAAUCUCAAGUAGAUGAAAGAAGCGUGAGAGGGCAGCCAACUGUUGAUAUAGCAGAAGUUUUGAGGCGUUGGACACAUGCCCUACAACGCAUACACAAACAAUCACUGCAAUUGGCAAAAGCGAAUGAUGGAGAGGGUCCAGAGCUCCUACGAAGUAUGCAUAAUGGUGGUACCCCUAGUCAUGCCGAGUCUUUGGCUGCAGCACUUGUUGAACAUAAGCAGCAUCUGGAUAGCAUACAGGUGCUAAUCGAUCAACUGAAGGAUGUUGCUCCGUCCAUACAGAAUUCAAUCUCAGAGCUUACAGAGGAAGUUAACAGUAUAUCAUCCCAUCUCCCCUCUGUGAGUAAACAACAUAGCAGAUUGAACUCGCCUAUCCAGGCACAGGGCAGUGGAAGGAUAUUGGAAAGUGUUCUUGAUGAUUUUGCCGAGAUGACCUCAAGAUUAUCAUCUUUGCAGCUUGAAAAGGCAUCAGCUAGCCCCCCUGCUUUAAAAUUGCCACCACUGUUUAGCUCCGCGCCAAAUUCUUCUGGAAAAAGUGGGAACAUGCAAAAACGUCAUGCUAUACCUCAAAUUAAUCAAGUGGAAAAUAUUUCUGACAAGAAGUCUGUGGAACAGCCUCUUUCAAAGAAUAAUAUAGAUAACCCACCACAUGCAGAUGAUGAUCAUUUUUUCCUCCAAAACUUGAAGAGAUCUGUUAGAGAAGCUGCUCUUUCAUCUCAAUCCUAUAACUUGGAGUCUUCCCAAGACAGCCGUUCUGAUGAUAGCUCUGAACACUUCUUUGUACCGCUUCCAGGGUCUGGGCUUUCCCGUCUUGACCAAGAGAAGAAGCCUAAUUCACUGAAAAGUAGACAAUUAUUCACAGCUCAAACAGAUCCUUCCUUGCUUGAGGCUUGUGCUCCAGACAAUCAUUUUGGGGGCAAGUAUAAUGGAAUCAGUUACAUGUUAAAUGAUUUGGAUUCACUCAACGACUUUGACAGUGUCAAAGGCUUCCUCUCUGCCAUUGGUUCAAAUUCUUCAGUUUCUGAUGCACAUAGAUCAUUUUAUGACAUGGAUGAAACUCAAGAUCAAAUUUUCUCACCUCCUUUGCUACUAGACACUUCACUAUUUGCAGAUACGUACGAGGAUUUGCUUGGGAAAUGUGGUGUAUUCUUAGCUGCCUGUUAGCUAACCACGUGUUACUUCAGCCCUUGAAAAGCAAUUUUAAAUUCUCCACCACCGGAGGAGAAAAUUUAAAAGAUUGCAAAGAAUUAGUAUCCUGAAAGGUGCUUCCAUCUGUACCGGAGGAGAAAAUGUAAAAAUUGCAAAGAACUAGUAUCCUGAAAGGUGCUUCCAGCUGUUGGAAUUCUGUGGCUUCCUUUUUGUAGUGAAGUUAGAGCCAAUAUUUUUCCGCCUCUUCUUUGUUUCUGUAUUAGCUCCAUUAUCAGAAAUUGAAACGGCUUUGAUGGAAGGUUGAUAUCAUAUCCAUCUGGCCAAACUUGCUGCUUUACCUCCAAAGAGCCUCCGUGGAAUUUUCUUCUCAUUCCAGAACGGGGAAGUCUGGGAUACAGUAACCUCCUCGCACCAUCCAUAAUGUGGCACUUACUGUUUCUGUUUGUUCCCGCUUUGGAUGCCUGCUCUUUUGUUGAUGGCAUUGUUAUUUGCUCAACACGUACUUGUGCUUUUUUGUAGUGGGGUGGGUUGUUUGAUCGGCUUGGUAUAUAUUGGACUUCCCACGUUUCUUGUCCAGAAAGAAAGACGAGGCUAGGUGGAAGAUUGGCAUCUGGCCUAAGAUCAAGUCUCGGGUAAUCAAGGUUCAAUCUUUUUAUCCAUGAAUAUUUUGUUCAUUUGUAAAGAUUCAUGCUGAAAAACCAAUUUAUUGGUUACUUUAUUGUAUUAAGCAGUAUAAAAUCUUUUCUGAUGCAUUUGGGGUUGUUCAUAGAGCAUUUGUAUUAUAUCUUUUGAAAAUUCAUUUUUCGCUCUUACUCUUUCCUAAUAUUAUUAGAUUAUUUUUGAGCUA